rnacentral:rRNA from 1 species
AUCUAGAUCCAAUCCACCAACCCCUCCUGGUCUCAUGUGGUCUUAGAAUCUAAGCAGGGUUGGGUCCUAUUAGUCCGAGAUUGGGAGAUCAUCUGGGACCACCAGGUGGUGUAAGGU